rnacentral:misc_RNA from 1 species
CCAAACUUGGUCAUUUAGAGGAAGUAAAAGUCGUAACAAGGUCUCCGUUGGUGAACCAGCGGAGGGAUCAUUACCGAGUCUCGAACUCACCAAACCCCUGUGAACAUACCAGUGUUGCUUCGGCGGUCGACCCCUCCGCCCACCCCUCACCGGGCUGGGCGGCGUGGUUCCGCCAGAGGACCAUAUCAAAACUCUUGUUUUUUCCCAGAAAGGAUUCCGCUCUGAGUAAACCAAAGAAAACCAUUAAAACUUUCAACAACGGAUCUCUUGGUUCUCGCAUCGAUGAAGAACGCAGC